rnacentral:rRNA from 1 species
UUGCGACAGAUUUCUUCGGGAUGAAGUUGCUUAUGACUGAGUGGCGGACGGGUGAGUAACGCGUGGGUAACCUGCCUUGUACUGGGGGAUAGCAGCUGGAAACGGCUGGUAAUACCGCAUAAGCGCACAAUGUUGCAUGACAUGGUGUGAAAAACUCCGGUGGUAUAAGAUGGACCCGCGUCUGAUUAGCUAGUUGGUGAGAUAACAGCCCACCAAGGCGACGAUCAGUAGCCGACCUGAGAGGGUGACCGGCCACAUUGGGACUGAGACACGGCCCAGACUCCUACGGGAGGCAGCAGUGGGGAAUAUUGCACAAUGGAGGAAACUCUGAUGCAGCGACGCCGCGUGAGUGAAGAAGUAAUUCGUUAUGUAAAGCUCUAUCAGCAGGGAAGAUAGUGACGGUACCUGACUAAGAAGCUCCGGCUAAAUACGUGCCAGCAGCCGCGGUAAUACGUAUGGAGCAAGCGUUAUCCGGAUUUACUGGGUGUAAAGGGAGUGUAGGUGGCCAUGCAAGUCAGAAGUGAAAAUCCGGGGCUCAACCCCGGAACUGCUUU